rnacentral:lncRNA from 1 species
UUAUUUACAUGUCAGAGAUCAAGGACCCUCAAGUCUGAUCACAUGUUUACAAAUAUAGUACCGGAGAGACUGCCAGCUCUCAUAUUAACAUCAUCAUCAAGGAUCUGCAAGUCCUGAUGUAAUUGUAUGAUGAGGAUCAAGGAACUUCUGGUCCUGAUCUGCUUACUGUAAAAAACUCAUCAUACAGCACAUUUAGUCCAUAAAAUAAAUUGCUGGUAAAUAAAUUACUGGUAUAGACGAUAAACCCGCACCACACUUUAAAUAAAUGUAAAUGUGCGGUAAAUUAAAUUCAUAAAGUUAAGGUGCUUGUAUGGGCAUUAAUUCUGCUCCAUACAUUUAAAUAAAAGUAAAGGCGUGGACGAUAAACCCGCACCACCCUUUUAAAUAAAUACUGUUGUAUGAGUAAUAAACCUACACCAUACAGUAAAUAAAAUAAAUGUGCGGUAAAGUAAAUUCAUAAUUUAAAUUGCUUGCUGUAUGGACGUUAAUCCCGCACCAUACCUUAAAUAAAAUUAAAUGUGCGGUAAAGUAAAUGUGCUUGUAUGGGCACUAAUUCUGCUCCAUACAUUUAAAUAAAAGUAAAGGCGUGGACGAUAAACCCGCACCACCCUUUUAAAUAAAUACUGUUGUAUGGGUAAUAAACCUACACCAUACAGUAAAUAAAAUAAAUAUGGGGUUAAAACCACCACUGAACAAGAUAAGGAAAGUGUUAGUAUUAGUAACGGUCUCCCACUGAUAAUAUGUUUAGUAUUACCAAGGGUCCAUUUUUGUUAAUGGUUAGUAAUAGAAAAGCAGAUAAAUAUAAUAUAAUAUAUAUAUAUAUAUAUUAUAG